UCUUCGGAAGCAAAGUUUCUUAACCUAGCGGCGGACGGGUGAGUAACGCGUGGGCAACCUGCCUUUCACAGGGGGAUAACACAGGGAAACUUGCGCUAAUACCGCAUAACAUCAUGUGGGGCAUCUCAUGUGAUCAAAGGAGCAAUCCGGUGAAAGAUGGGCCCGCGUCCAAUUAGCUAGUUGGUGAGGUAAUGGCUCACCAAGGCGACGAUUGGUAGCCGAACUGAGAGGUUGAUCGGCCACAUUGGGACUGAGACACGGCCCAGACUCCUACGGGAGGCAGCAGUGGGGAAUAUUGCGCAAUGGGGGGAACCCUGACGCAGCAACGCCGCGUGAAGGAAGAAGGUCUUCGGAUUGUAAACUUCUUUGAUGAGGGACGAAGUAAGUGACGGUACCUCAAAAACAAGCCACGGCUAACUACGUGCCAGCAGCCGCGGUAAUACGUAGGUGGCGAGCGUUGUCCGGAAUUACUGGGUGUAAAGGGCGUGUAGGCGGGGAUGCAAGUCAGAUGUGAAAUACCGAGGCUUAACCUCGGGGCUGCAUCUGAAACUGUGUUUCUUGAGUGUCGGAGAGGAAAGUGGAAUUCCCAGUGUAGCGGUGAAAUGCGUAGAGAUUGGGAGGAACACCAGUGGCGAAGGCGGCUUUCUGGACGAUAACUGACGCUGAGGCGCGAAAGCGUGGGGAUCAAACAGGAUUAGAUACCCUGGUAGUCCACGCUGUAAACUAUGAUCACUCGUUUUUGGCGAUAUAUAGUCAGAGACUGAGCGAAAGCAUUAAGUGAUCCACCUGGGGAGUACGUUCGCAAGAAUGAAACUCAAAGGAAUUGACGGGGGCCCGCACAAGCGGAGGAACAUGUGGUUUAAUUCGAUGAUACGCGAGGAACCUUACCUGGGCUUAAAUGUAUAGUGCAUAAUGUGGAAACACAUUUUUCCUUCGGGACUCUUUACAAGGUGCUGCAUGGUUGUCGUCAGCUCGUGCCGUGAGGUGUCGGGUUAAGUCCCAUAACGAGCGCAGCCCUCAUCGUUAGUUGCCAACACGUGAAGGUGGGGACUCUAGCGAGACUGCCGGUGUAAACCGUGAGGAAGGUGGGGAUGACGUCAAAUCAGCACGGCCCUUAUGUCCAGGGCUACACACGUGUUACAAUGGCCAAUACAAAGGGCAGCCACCUGGUGACAGGGCGCUAAUCCUCAAAGUUGGUCUUAGUUCGGAUCGGAGUCUGCAACUCGACUCCGUGAAGCUGGAUUCGCUAGUAAUCGUAGAUCAGCAUGAUACGGUGAAUACGUUCCCGGGCCUUGUACACACCGCCCGGCAAGCCAUGGAAGUUGGGGGUACCUGAAGUCCGUA
rnacentral:rRNA from 1 species